AGUCUUAUAUUCAACAAUGAUUUUAAAUUGCAAAUUUAAAGGAGGAUUUUACCCUAAGGCUU
rnacentral:tRNA from 1 species